rnacentral:rRNA from 1 species
AGAAUGAACGCUGGCGGCAUGCCUAACACAUGCAAGUCGAACGAAACCUUCGGGUUUAGUGGCGCACGGGUGCGUAACGCGUGGGAAUCUACCCCUUGGUUCGGAAUAACAGUUGGAAACGACUGCUAAUACCGGAUGAUGACGUAAGUCCAAAGAUUUAUCGCCGAGGGAUGAGCCCGCGUAGGAUUAGCUAGUUGGUGUGGUAAAGGCGCACCAAGGCGACGAUCCUUAGCUGGUCUGAGAGGAUGAUCAGCCACACUGGGACUGAGACACGGCCCAGACUCCUACGGGAGGCAGCAGUGGGGAAUAUUGCACAAUGGGCGAAAGCCUGAUGCAGCAACGCCGCGUGAGGGACGAAGGCUUUCUGAGUUGUAAACCUCUUUCAGCAGGGACGAUUGUGACGGUACCUGCAGAAGAAGCCCCGGCAACUACGCGCCAGCAGCCGC